rnacentral:rRNA from 1 species
CCUACGGGAGGCAGCAGUAGGGAAUAUUUCACAAUGGGCGAAAGCCUGAUGCAGCAACGCCGCGUGCAGGAAGAAGGCUUUCGGGAUGUAAAGCGCUUUUAGAAGGGAGGAAUAUGACGGUAACUUAUGAAUAAGGAUCGGCUAACUACGUGCCAGCAGCCGCGGUAAUACGUAGGAUCCGAGCGUUAUCCGGAGUGACUGGGUGUAAAGAGUGGGGUGAGUGGGAUAAUAAAUAGCUAGUGAAGUCUGGUGGCGCAAACAUUCAGACUAUUAGCGAAACUGUGAAGCUCGAGUGCGUGAGAGGUAACCGGAAUUUCUGGUGUAGGAGUGAAAUCCGUAGAUAUUAGAAGGAACACCAAUAGCGAAGGCAGGUUACUGGGACGUAACUGACGUUAAGGCACGAAAGCGUAGGGAGCAAACAGGAUUAGAUACCCUGGUAGUC